rnacentral:misc_RNA from 1 species
AUGGCUGAGAAACUCGUAUAUAUAUAUAUAUAAUACUAGCACAACCAAACUUAAACAGAGUAUGCAAUACGCAAUGCCAAAUACAAAGAUCUAAUAAAUAUGCAGCAUUUACAAGCUUUUGUUGCAGCAGUCAGAGAAAGGAGAAGAUAUACAUCAGAAUAAGCAGCAUAUACAAUUAUAAUCUUGCAGUUACUUUUAAGUUCAGCCUUUUCAGAUAACUCAACAUUGAACUCAUUUUUCCAGCUAAGCCAAGGAUCUACGGUUCCAGCCACCUCUAUGAGAUUUUCUCCUCCCCCGCUUUUUCUUGUUAUUGGAAACAUUGGACCUGGAUUUUGGAAGUGUUUUUCCACCAAAAUUCACACGAGGCACAAAUGUCUCUAGGUGUAUGUCAGCCUCAGAAGACCGGACUGCCUGCUUUUCCAUCAGUGCAUGAUGCUUCUCUGUGAGCUGGUGUCCGACAAUUUUCAAGUCUUGCAUCUCUUCCUUUGCUGCCUGAUUAUGUAUUAGAAUUCCCUCUUCAGUCUGAGCCUGACUUGUGCUUUCGAUCAUAUCAGGAAGAGGGGUGACCUCUCCAUGACUCGAAACUGCCGUUUCAGGCAUAAUAUCUUUAAAGUCAGACAUAUGCUGAGAUAAGGUGCAUAGCGAUCUAGCAGGCAUUCUCUCUCCAAGUUCAAGAGGGGAAGCAGGAUUUUGAUUGGUCAAUGCAUCACAAGAUGGAGGUGCACUCAGCCUAUUAACAGAACAGAACUUCCCAGGAUUUUCACUCACCACCUUUUCAAUCCGAGCCUUCAACUUAUGGACCUGCAAUUGUAACAUUUCAAUUUUCCAGAGAAUAUUUUCACGGAUAUUAUCAAUGCCUUUGGACUCAAGAGAUGCCCAUCCAUCUUGCAACCCAAACUCAUCAUUACCAUUGAUAGCCUUAUCUGGAUUACCACAAUCAUCAGUCAUAAAAGCACCAUUGGCAGCAGACUUCCCAUUUUCAUAGUAGGAGAAGAGGUUAUGUUGCAGCAUAUAUGAUGUUAUAUCAGCUGUCUCUUCCACUCUUUUUCUUUUCUUUCUCUUCAUGACUUUCUUCCUUUGAGUACAACCUGAAAAUGGCAGUGACUUUGCAUCAAAUCCUUCUACUACAAAUGUAUCAAAAUCGAAUUGCUUUCUCUGUUCAUGCUUUGCAAGUUCUCUGUCAUAUUUAAGUGCUUGGGACUGAAAUUCUUUAAUUUGCAAUUCUAUCCACUUGCAGCGCCACAUAAGAGGACGUAUAAAUCUCCUCCAAUGAUCUGUCAGCCUUUUCUUCCUCAUUUUAAAUGCUCCGCCAUAUUUGUCAAAUAUAGAUGCUGGUGCAUCACCAACACAUAAUUUUGACUCAACUUCAAUAUCACUCAAUGCUGAACCAUUCUCGGUCUCAGAUAAUGUGUCACCAAAAGAACUCAUACUCUCAGUUUCAUCCUCACAUCUAGCUUCAACUUGUUCAUUGUCACCAGACUUUGUACAAUCAAUUAUAUUGAUCUCCAUAUCUUCACUUGCAGUCAGUACCUUAGGUUGGUCAUCAUUUAAAGUUUCUUCAUGAAAAUUAUUGUCCUCAUAACUACUUACACAUUGCACAAGUUUAUCUUCCGAAACUUGAGGAAAACUUCCAUUAUCUUUAUUAGCGAAUGCUUCAGCAGACGCUUUAGACUUCUCCAAGUCAGGUCCCAUAUUAAUUUUCUCCAAGAUAAUUAUACAUUCAUGGAGUUUAGGGCUUGGGAUCGGAAUAGCGAUGCCGAUAAACAGAACGUCACCGCCGGCUUUAUUAGCCAAGUCGUUAAACGAGAGAUCCGGGGAGUUGGCGUUUAGUAAAGGGGUAGAAAACGAGGAGUCGGGACCAAGAUGAAAGGACUCGUAAAGGAUGCGCAAGCGGGACCCGAACCAAAUUU